rnacentral:lncRNA from 1 species
GCUGAGAGCAGCCAGACUUCACUUCUUCUGCUCACAAUUGCUUUUGACUUAUGGUUUAAACUCUACAUAUGCUUUCACAUUCAUUUAUUUUAGAAUUCCUUGCAUUGUUCAGAUUAUUCUACUUCACUAGUUUUUUCAGGUUUCUCUCAGGAGCACUCAACCCAAGCAUUCUGUCAGAAUGAAAAUGCCAGCAAAGGAUGAGUCCAUACCCAUGCUCUGACAGUAAUAUAUUUGUCAAUAGGGUAAUUCAGAAAGAAGCACAACAACAAGCUGAUCUUAUACCAGCGCUCGAAGGUUUCAAGCAGCCAAAUCAUGCAAAUGGGAUGACAGUGUUGACUUCUUAUAAAGCAAGUAUAUUUGUACAAAUACGUUGGUACUUGAUAGGAAGUAAAUUAAUAAUACUGCUUGGAAACAAAAUUACCUUUUGACAUCUUUGGAUGCUUUACAUCAACAUGCAGUUUUUCUUCUAAUAAAUCUCUAAUUCCUAAGAGGAUACUUUCUUAA